CGGUGUUUAACUGGCGUGAUGUGGGACGUCCUACCGGUGGGCUUAGCCUCGCGAGGGGCGGCCCAACUAAUAUCCCGUCGCGGUGCUCUUUACUGAGUGUCGAGUCGGGCCGGUACGUUUACUUUGAACAAAUUAGAGUGCUUAAAGCAGGCUAUCCUCGCCUGAAUACUGCGUGCAUGGAAUAAUGGAAUAGGACCUCGGUUCUAUUUUGUUGGUUUUCGGAACCCCGAGGUAAUGAUUAAUAGGGACAGAUGGGGGCAUUCGUAUUGCGACGUUAGAGGUGAAAUUCUUGGAUCGUCGCAAGACGGACAGAAGCGAAAGCAUUUGCCAAAAAUGUUUUCAUUAAUCAAGAACGAAAGUUAGAGGUUCGAAGGCGAUCAGAUACCGCCCUAGUUCUAACCAUAAACGAUGCCAGCUAGCGAUCCGCCGAAGUUCCUCCGAUGACUCGGCGGGCAGCUUCCGGGAAACCAAAGCUUUUGGGUUCCGGGGGAAGUAUGGUUGCAAAGCUGAAACUUAAAGGAAUUGACGGAAGGGCACCACCAGGAGUGGAGCCUGCGGCUUAAUUUGACUCAACACGGGAAACCUCACCAGGCCCAGACACCGGAAGGAUUGACAGAUUGAUAGCUCCUUCUUGAUUCGGUGGGUGGUGGUGCAUGGGCCGUUCUUAGUUGGUGGAGCGAUUUGUCUGGUUAAUUCCGAUAACGAACGAGACUCUAGCCUGCUAAAUAGGCGUACCUUAUGGUAUCGCGAAGGCCCCCGGCUUCGGCCGGUGGGUUUUUACUACCAACGUACAAACAAAUCUUCUUAGAGGGACAGGCGG
rnacentral:rRNA from 1 species